rnacentral:rRNA from 1 species
AUUGAACGCUGGCGGCAUGCCUUACACAUGCAAGUCGAACGGCAGCACGGGUGCUUGCACCUGGUGGCGAGUGGCGAACGGGUGAGUAAUAUAUCGGAACGUACCUUAUCGUGGUGGAUAACGCAGCGAAAGCUGUGCUAAUACCGCAUAAGCCCUAAGGGGGAAAGCAGGGGACCGUAAGGCCUUGCGCGAUUAGAGCGGCCGAUACCUGAUUAGCUAGUUGGUGAGGUAAAGGCUCACCAAGGCAACGAUCAGUAGCUGGUCUGAGAGGACGAUCAGCCACACUGGGACUGAGACACGGCCCAGACUCCUACGGGAGGCAGCAGUGGGGAAUUUUGGACAAUGGGGGCAACCCUGAUCCAGCAAUGCCGCGUGAGUGAAGAAGGCCUUCGGGUUGUAAAGCCCUUUUGUCAGGGAAGAAACAGCAGCUCUAAUACAGUAUGCGAAUGACGGUACCUGAAGAAUAAGCACCGGCUAACUACGUGCCAGCCGCCGCCGUAA